UACGAAGGGGGCUAGCGUUGUUCGGAAUUACUGGGCGUAAAGGGCGCGUAGGCGGUGUGUCAAGUCAGGCGUGAAAGCCCCGGGCUCAACCUGGGAACCGCGCUUGCGACUGGCACGCUCGAGUUCGGGAGAGGAUGGUGGAAUUCCCAGUGUAGAGGUGAAAUUCGUAGAUAUUGGGAAGAACACCGAUGGCGAAGGCAGCCAUCUGGACCGACACUGACGCUGAGGCGCGAAAGCGUGGGGAGCAAACAGG
rnacentral:rRNA from 1 species